CAACAGGGUUAUUGCCUCAGUAGCGGCGAGUGAAGCGGCAAAAGCUCAAAUUUGAAAUCUGGCGUCUUUGGCGUCCGAGUUGUAAUUUGAAGAAGGUAUCUUUGGGCCCGGCUCUUGUCUAUGUUCCUUGGAACAGGACGUCACAGAGGGUGAGAAUCCCGUGCGAUGAGAUGACCCGGGUCUGUGUAAAGUUCCUUCGACGAGUCGAGUUGUUUGGGAAUGCAGCUCUAAGUGGGUGGUAAAUUCCAUCUAAAGCUAAAUAUUGGCGAGAGACCGAUAGCGAACAAGUACAGUGAUGGAAAGAUGAAAAGAACUUUGAAAAGAGAGUGAAAAAGUACGUGAAAUUGUUGAAAGGGAAGGGCUUGAGAUCAGACUUGGUAUUUUGCAUGCUGCUCUCUCGGGGGCGGCCGCUGCGGUUUACCGGGCCAGCAUCGGUUUGGAGCGGCAGGAUAAUGGCGGAGGAAUGUGGCACGGCUUCUGCUGUGUGUUAUAGCCUCUGACGAUACUGCCAGCCUAGACCGAGGACUGCGGUUUUUACCUAGGAUGUUGGCAUAAUGAUCUUAAGUCGCCCGUCUUGAAACACGGACCCA
rnacentral:rRNA from 1 species